GCUCGGAUGGUGGAAUUGGUAGACACGCUAGCUUGAGGGGCUAGUGGCGGCAACGCUGUGGGGGUUCAAGUCCCCCUCCGAGCA
rnacentral:tRNA from 1 species